CGGCAGGCUUAACACAUGCAAGUCGAGCGGGGGAAGGUAGCUUGCUACUGGACCUAGCGGCGGACGGGUGAGUAAUGCUUAGGAAUCUGCCUAUUAGUGGGGGACAACAUCUCGAAAGGGAUGCUAAUACCGCAUACGUCCUACGGGAGAAAGCAGGGGAUCUUCGGACCUUGCGCUAAUAGAUGAGCCUAAGUCGGAUUAGCUAGUUGGUGGGGUAAAGGCCUACCAAGGCGACGAUCUGUAGCGGGUCUGAGAGGAUGAUCCGCCACACUGGGACUGAGACACGGCCCAGACUCCUACGGGAGGCAGCAGUGGGGAAUAUUGGACAAUGGGGGGAACCCUGAUCCAGCCAUGCCGCGUGUGUGAAGAAGGCCUUAUGGUUGUAAAGCACUUUAAGCGAGGAGGAGGCUACUUUAGUUAAUACCUA
rnacentral:rRNA from 1 species